UACAGAGGUCCCAAGCGUUGUUCGGAUUCACUGGGCGUAAAGGGUGCGUAGGCGGUCGGGUAAGUCUGACGUGAAAUCUUCAAGCUCAACCGAGGAACUGCGUCCGAUACUGGUGGGCUUGAAUCCGGGAGAGGGAUGUGGAAUUCCAGGUGUAGCGGUGAAAUGCGUAGAUAUCUGGAGGAACACCGGUGGCGAAGGCGGCAUCCUGGACCGGUAUUGACGCUGAGGCGCGAAAGCUAGGGGAGCAAACGGG
rnacentral:rRNA from 1 species